AUCGUGUGAAUUAAGUUCAAGAUUUGCCUAUUGUGAGCAUUCAGAUACCUCGGUAAUACAGAAUGGGUAAAAAAAUGCACAAAGGUUAAUCACAUCAUGCUGCAUUGCACUGUAACAGAACAAUUUAUCUGAUGCAAGCAUCAAUCAUGAGAAUAAGAAAGGAGGUUAGGUCCAAAGAGAAGG